ACAUACGACCAUAGACUCAAGAGAAUUGGGCAUCCCGUCCGCUCUGCCAUACACAAGCUUGAGAUCGGUAGAUUAGUAGUUGGGUGGGUGACCACCAGCGAAUACCUACUGUUGUAUGUU
rfam:Pseudogymnoascus pannorum VKM F-4518 (FW-2643) contig_2379, whole genome shotgun sequence.